UACGUAGGGGGCAAGCGUUGUCCGGAUUUAUUGGGCGUAAAGAGCGUGUAGGCGGUUUGGUAGGUCCGCUGUGAAAACUCGAGGCUCAACCUCGAGACGCCGGUGGAAACCAUCAGACUAGAGUCCGGAAGAGGAGAGUGGAAUUCCUGGUGUAGCGGUGAAAUGCGCAGAUAUCAGGAAGAACACCCGUGGCUAAGGCGGCUCUCUAGUACGGUACUGACGCUGAGACGCGAAAGCGUGGGGAGCAAACAGG
rnacentral:rRNA from 1 species